rnacentral:rRNA from 1 species
GUGCCAGCCGCGGCGGUAAUACGGAGGGUGCAAGCGUUAAUCGGAAUUACUGGGCGUAAAGCGCACGCAGGCGGUCUGUCAAGUCGGAUGUGAAAUCCCCGGGCUCAACCUGGGAACUGCAUUCGAAACUGGCAGGCUGGAGUCUCGUAGAGGGAGGUAGAAUUCCAGGUGUAGCGGUGAAAUGCGUAGAGAUCUGGAGGAAUACCGGUGGCGAAGGCGGCCUCCUGGACGAAGACCGACGCUCAGGUGCGAAAGCGUGGGAGCAAACAGGAUUAGAUACCCUGGUAGUCCACGCCGUAACGAUGUCGACUUGGAGCUGUGCCCUUGAGGCGUGGCUUCCGGAGCUAACGCGUUAAGUCGACGCCUGGGAGUACGGCCGC